AGACGGAGGGUGCAAGCGUUAAUCGGAAUUACUGGGCGUAAAGCGCUCGUAGGCGGCUUGUUAAGUCGGAUGUGAAAGCCCCGGGCUCAACCUGGGAACUGCAUUCGAUACUGGCAGGCUAGAGUAUACUAGAGGCAAGUGGAAUUCCGGGUGUAGCGGUGAAAUGCGUAGAUAUCCGGAGGAACAUCAGUGGCGAAGGCGACUUGCUGGACUAAUACUGACGCUGAGGAGCGAAAGCGUGGGGAGCAAACAGCAUUAGAAACCCCAGUAGUCC
rnacentral:rRNA from 1 species